rnacentral:rRNA from 1 species
UAGGGAAUCUUCCGCAAUGGGCGAAAGCCUGACGGAGCAACGCCGCGUGAGUGAUGAAGGUUUUCGGAUCGUAAAGCUCUGUUGCCAGGGAAGAACGCUUGGGAGAGUAACUGCUCCCAAGGUGACGGUACCUGAGAAGAAAGCCCCGGCUAACUACGUGCCAGCAGCCGCGGUAAUACGUAGGGGGCAAGCGUUGUCCGGAAUUAUUGGGCGUAAAGCGCGCGCAGGCGGCUGAUUAAGUCUGGUGUUUAAUCCCGGAGCUCAACUCCGGGUCGCACGGGAAACUGGUUGGCUUGAGUACAGAAGAGGAAAGUGGAAUUCCACGUGUAGCGGUGAAAUGCGUAGAGAUGUGGAGGAACACCAGUGGCGAAGGCGACUUUCUGGGCUGUAACUGACGCUGAGGCGCGAAAGCGUGGGGAGCAAACA